GGCCCCGGAGCGGGGUUGCGGCACGGCGUCGGCGGGAGGUCGGCUCCUGUUGUGGCAGGCGUGGCCCGGAGGACUUUUAGAGUGGCCCGGUUCCUGCCCGACGUGGACCAGAGCGUGCGCUUGCCCCUGCGGAUGCAGCCCGUAGGAGCGGGGCCGCAGGCGGGCCCUGGAGCGCUGCUGAGUCCUGGGAGGCUUGAACCCUCUGGAGCAAACCGGCUGAAGGUGAACUGGAGUCAGAGCUGGAACCAAUGAUAGCAAAUGCUGACAGAGGGGAAACCUGAACAAGCAGUCUGUUAUUAAUUCCUAAGGGAUGGGAUGAAACAAGGAAGCAAAAAUGCAGUGGACCCUUGGUAUCCCCAGCAACUGCUAAAGAAGGAGGUGUUAUGCCAUGGGCAAGUAAGAUCGGUUGCCCCAGCUGAAGUUGAAGAGACCAGAAAAAACGUAAGCAAGCUGAAGUGAUAAAAUCAAAUGGAACCAACUGAGAGUUGUCUCCAUCUCCCACAAAGGAGGACCCAUUACUCCUGACUAGGAAGGAUCGCCAUUAAAGCAAUGGGAAUAACAGAUCACCGAUGUAUAACAGAAGGCAUUCCAAUCGUCAGGGAAUGACUGUAUGCUGCCAUGAAGAGCUACAGGGUAUCGCCCUCAGACCUCUGUGAGUUAUCACGUGUCAAGGGCGGCCCGGAAGAUGCUAGAGGAAAGGUUCUCCUCCCAGUGCCGACAAGGACCCUUUGGCCAUAGGAAGGUUGGCCUCGUCCUUACCGGACUUGAUAACCUUGUGAGGGCGAGCAACUUCAAGAGGAGCAGCUCAGCCCAUUCUGUUGAUUUCUGUUAUACUCUCUUAAGGAAGUCUAGCUGAAUCCUGCCCCUGAAGGAAAAAGCAGAAGGGGUAGGCCAUCAGCUACACAGACACCUGCCAUGUCAGGGGCUGCAGCGGGAACUGACUCUUCCCCAAUGAACGGAUGGAUGGACGGACGCUGGCGUGGUGAUGACUCUUCAGGUGUCGUCUAGUAAGGGGAAGUGUGCUGGCACUGAGCUUUGUGGCAGACUUGCUCCCAGGUGGUAUUUUUGUGCAGUAAAACAAUAAACAGUUGCUUUAUUCUU